rnacentral:rRNA from 1 species
GACGUAGGGUCCAAGCGUUGUCCGGAUUUACUGGGCGUAAAGAGCGCGUAGGCGGUCUGUUAAGUGCACGAGUGAAAUCCCUGGGCUCACCCCAGGAACUGCUCUGCAUACUGGCAGACUUGAGGGUCGAAGAGGUUUGUGGAAUUCCCGGUGUAGCGGUGAAAUGCGUUGAUAUCGGGAGGAACACCCAUGGCGAAGGCGGCUCUCUGGACCGAUACUGACGCUGAGGCGCGAAAGCGUGGGGAGCAAACAGG